rnacentral:tRNA from 1 species
GUGUUCGUGGUAGUUCGGGAUAGUUCAAUAAUCCCACCUUGACAUGGUGGGGGUCGCUAGUUCGAAUCUAGUCGCGCCUACCA